GGGACAAGGCAGAUGGCUCAUGAACUUGCUGGGCCUUGUUGACCCAGAACCCCUGCUGCUUGCUCAGAGUGGAUGCUCCAGAGCCCCCGUGAGCUUCUCUUAGGCCGGAAUUAUGGCUGGCUUUCUUGGUUGAGAGUCAGGAGUUCUCCGGGUGAGAAUCUCAGUUCCGCACCUACACCACGGUUACAUCAGAAUUCCUGGGAUAGUCGCUGGGCAGGGAGUGACAAAGUGUCAUGUGAAGGCGUGGAUAUGAGGCUCUGUCUGUGGGGAAGGAGCCAGGUUGGAGGUAUCUGGGCAAUGUGGCCUCUUAGCUGGCUUACCAGGUACCAGGAUGGAGGUGCAGCUAAGAGAAUCACCAAGACCAAGUGUCAUUAGCACACCUAAGAACAUUGUGAUUCUUUGAGGUCACUCCACCCAGCUGUGUUCAGGACUCAAGGCUGACCGAGUACACAGCAGCGGAGCUGGAGGGACUCGGUCUCAUCCACCAGCUCAGCUCACAGAAGAGGAAACUAAGGCCGGGAAGGGUGGGGCUGCUCUACAACCCCAUAAGGAAGGAGUGAGUGGUAGAAAUGGGACCAGAUCACUCCUUGUGUUUGCUAGCAGGCCCGCUGAGGGUGUCUGGUGGGAGGGACCUUGUGAGACAUCUCUGAGAACAUCCAUGUAUGGGCUGAGAAAGAACUUCCCUGGUAUCGCCCCGAGGUUGACAGACUCACAGUGCUGAGGGGACCUGCUUUAGCACCUCCUCCCAGUUCCCUUUCUCUGCCCUGAUGAUUGGAUUCUGGGCGGGCCUCCCCACUCAUCGCCUCCCUCAGGACAGUGAAGAGCCCAACCAGGAUGCAUGGGAACCGUUGCUCAUGGCUCCUUUGCUAAGGACAAUUAAAGACCUGCUUCUAAGAGUG